CACAGAGUUACUGAGCACAAACUAUUUAAACCUGAAUUGGAACAGAAACUUUUUCUAUAUAAAUAAACCACAUAAGUACUACACACAGUUACUGAACACAAACUAUUUAAACCUGAAUUGGAACAGAAACUUUUUCUAUAUAAAUAAACCACAUAAAUACCACACAGAGUUACUGAACACAAACUAUUUAAACCUGAAUUGGAACAGAAACUUUUUCUAUAUAAAUAAACCACAUAAGCACUACACAGAGUUACUGAACACAAACUAUUUAAACCUGAAUUGGAACAGAAACAUUUUCUAUGUAAAUAAACCACAUAAAUACCACACAGUUACUGUUUAAACUUGAAUUGGAACAGGAACUUGUACUUUUUUGUAUAAUUUGCAGCCUGGAGUUUGAAGAAUGAAAAUGUCCACUGUGUGCUUAUGGGAGCUUCUACUCCAGAGCAGCUGUAUGAACAUCUUUAUGCUCUCCAGAUUGUCCCACGUCUAAAUGCCCUCAUGCUGAAUGAAAUUGAAAAAAUUUUGGACAACAGACCAGUACGUCAACCUUUAAUCAGGACUAAUUGGAGACCUUCACUCUCUGAUGUGGAUCACAAUUCCAAGGAGUCUUGAGAAGAAAUUUGAAGUUCAAUGGUGAUUUAGAGGUCUUUUAGUCGUAACCAUCAUGAUUACUGAGACCUUCCAAUCAUAGAAAUGUUUAUUAGUAACCUUUUGUUCUGAUUUUAUAAUUUGAAAAUUUAAGGAGUCAUGAAAGAAACUUUGAAAGUUGAAGAUUAAAGAUUGUUUUUAGAUGAUAUCUGAAGGUAUUAGAAGUAUUCUAGUCUGUUUAAAGCAGAAAUGUGAAGGUGACUUGAUGUUUUAAAAAAGCCAAUAGAAACCUCAUGUAUAUUUUAUUAAAUUCUGUUAAUAAAGAUGAGUAUUGUUGGAAUGUAAAGGUGAUUUAAGACAUUUUUGUGGGCAGACAAAGCGUGAACAGUUGUUGUUGUUUUUUGUAAGAGGAAAAAAAAAUGUAUGAAUGUAGGGAACUGCAUUUAAUUAUUAUUUAAAACAAAUGGUCCGUUCAAGAAUUUUCUCUUUAAAUACUUUACUGAAUUAUAAAUUUUCCUGAAGAAAUUUAUAUUUCUUUACUCCAGUAUGUAUGUAAUUUUGUCUAACUGCUACUUAUUGGUGGUUUAAAUGUUUGGUAAAAAUAAAAUAUACCUUACUUCUACCUUGCAUGUAAGAGAAAUUAGCUAUUAUUAUAAAUAUUAGGGAUGGGACAAAUAGUAGUUUUGGUCCAAGCUCAGAUAUCUGUCUCCUAAUAUCUGAUUGAAUUCAGAUAUUUUCGAAUUAUAGAGAAGAUGUAGCCACGGACAUUAAAAAUACACCACAACAGUUAGUUACCACUUCAUUAUAGUAUGCUAUUAAAUAGUUAAUUAUAGAGAAGAUGUAGCCACGGAUAUUAAAAAUACACCACAACAGUUAGUUACCACUUCAUUAUAGUAUGCUAUUAAAUAGUUAAUUAUAGAGAAGAUGUAGCCACGGACAUUAAAAAUACACCACAACAGUUAGUUACCACUUCAUUAUAGUAUGCUAUUAAAUAGUUGAUUAAUUAUUGUUUUUUUUUGAAAAUAUAAUAAGGGUAUACACGGAGAUGGCGUACUAAGCUUUCUCUCUCACUCACGGGGGAACUGUACAUCCCCACGAGUGAGAGAGAGCAUUGUUGACCAUUUAAGGGAAUGUGUUAGUGUGAGACAGUGAUCCAAUGCUGAGACUGUUGUUUGUAUUGUUGUUGCUGUUGCUGCCGCUACUGUGUGGCAACAUGGUGGACGUGAUGUUUAUUUAAACUACACAAUGACUGUCUGUAUAACAAUUACCAGAGAAAGUGCUACUCUAUUUAGAAGCUAGCGGAAAACACUGAUAGGUUAGAUGAUACGACAUGUAUCAUGUGUGACACACGUGCAAGUAGUAUCGUGCUUCUGUAAUGUUGUGCAAUAAUCCAUAAAUGGAAAUGCGACUUGAUUCGUUGCAAAAUUAUUAUCCAAUCAGAUCAGGUUUCAUCGAAUAGUGCAAUAUUUGAUUGGACCAGAUGUUUGUCUCAUCUCUAGUAAAUAUUCACAUUUUAAAUAUCUUAAAAUAUUUAUACAUUUACUACUUUAUCUCAUAUUUUUCUCUUUGAUUUUUAACAAAUUUUUCAAAAGAUGAAAUGAAGUUUAUUGCACAGAUAAUUCUCAAAAUCGUUAAUGCUACAAUAGAAUAUACACUUGUGACAUAGUAAAUUUUUUAAUAUCUUGAGUAUAAAAUUUGUUUUCAAGUAUUUUGAAGUUUAUAAUAUUUCUGGUCUGUAACAUUUGUUGUAUAUGUUCAGCACGUUUUACUUUUCUUGGUGUUUUAAAAAGUUGAACAGUAAUUUUGUGAUGUUGAAGUGGUAAAAAGAGAAAAAAAAACCUAAAAUGUAUUAGUACUUUUUUGUAGAUUUUAGCUAUUAUUAUAGGACACAAAAAAUUAAUAUCAUUUAAAAUUCUUCUUCCAUUGUCAUUCAUAACCUGUUCAUUCUGAAAUUCUUUGCAAUUAAUCUUAUAAAAAAAAAAGUUACAUCAUUAAGUAGAGGCCAACUGAAUACUUAGCCAGAUAAACUAUAAAAAGGUAAAUAUAUUUAAAGCUCUUCUCUGCAACUUGUAAAAACAAAAAAUCUUUCUGAAGUUCACAACAUAGGUUUAGAUUUAAUCAAAAGAAUAUUAGAUUCUUUAUUUAUCCACUGUUUUGUGAUUAUAAAAAUAUUGCUUCUCAGACUAUACAUUUAAGAGUUGUUGUUCAUUUUUCUAGUGAAUGAAUAUUUAUAAUCAUUUUGUUUGAACCUCUAAAGCCUUAUAAAAUUGAUGACAGUGUCAUCGUAAGAAUCUGAUGUUGCCUUAUGAGCUAAUGUAUUUAAUUAAUGCCACUUGUUGAAAUGUUUAUUUCAUAUAUUGAAGAAGAGAUGUUGUAAUAAGUUUAGAAAAAUGCUUGUACUUGUUUUUAAAGAUGGUACUGACUGCGUGAUUAGUUUUUCUGUCUGUUGCAUGACAAUAGUACGAAGCUCACUUAUUUUAUUCUUGAUUAUAUAUGUAGAUCAAAUAACAUAAUGUGCCAUUUGCUUUAGCUGCUUCUCUCCAUAUAGUGAAAAAAAGGCCUAAAAUAGUAUCUCACUCUGCUAGUACCACACUGGAGUUUUAUGUUUUGUCGUGAUGAUUAUUCUUAUUUUCACGAGGUAGUUGGUAAAUUUUUGAUUAAUUUUCAGAGUAAAAUGCUAAUGUGUGGAUUAUAAGCCAUUAAUUUAGAGUUUUGUGUUUGUGGGUACCUGAAUCAAAGUAACAUAGUGUUUAUUAGUGAUUUAUUAUUGCACAAAAUAUUACUAAUUAAAAUUAAUAUUUCUUCAGUUUUUUUUUCUUUCGGUCUUGAUGUUGCUUGUAAAAAUUUUAAAGUAAUUAAAAUUGAUGUACUAUAAGUUAUUCCUUUUACAUUUAAAUUAUCAACUAGUUAAGUUAAUCAAGAUGUUGAAAACUGUUUACAACAUUGUAAGGUGUCGUUACAUUUUAUUGUUUGAUCAUGUUACGGUAUUCACUCGACCAUUUUGUACACAACUCCAAAUUUAUCAACCGAAACUGCUAAACAUUUCUACUUAGUAGGUUCUGGUAAUAAAAUUGUUACUUAGAAAAGGAGAAGAAAACGAGGAGAAUCACUUACCAAAUUAAAAUUAAUUUAUUAAUGAUUUUGAAAGAAAUGUUGUGGGUAUGGUUCCUUUUACGAUGUCUAAGUAACGUCAACAAUUGUACCAAAGAAUAAAUGAUAUUUUGAUCGCAAAACUAUUUGUAAAAAUUAUAUUAGGUUCAAAUAUCCGUAUUAGGUUUAACAGUGCACUUGAAUUUUCAUGUGGUUUAUAUAUUGUUCGAGAAAAAGAUAUGAAGACCAAUAUAUUUAGAUUUAUCAGUUUGCACUUACUUUAUUUCUAUUGAGUUUAUGUAAAUUGACUGAAUGCACAAACCUAGAAAUUAAUAGCUUUGGUCUGUGACAAUCGGAGUUAAAAUUAAGAAAUCUAAAGUUACUGCAAUCUUUCUUAUUUUGGUGCGACAGCCCUAACUCGCAUGGAACUGAAACCUAAGCUUACAAAUGGUAACCAACCAGUGGUAUUCUCAGGAAAUGGUUUGUUUUUAAAAGUGUAUAAAAUCAUGUGUAUCACUGAUUUAUUAAUACCCAACUGUCUUUUUUUCAUGUGAGGAAGUCGCACAUGUUCGUAAAUAGCAUAAAAACAGUAAUUACUUUGUUUGUAUAUAGAAAAAUAUUUUGAGGAUGGUGUAUUAAAUUUCAAAUAUAUGUAUUUUAGUUGUAUUUAUUUCUUUUGUUUAGAAUUACUUGAAAUGCUCAUUACGGGCUACUGAAUCAGUUAUGUGCUGGUUCUUUUUAUUUAAAGAUUUUCUCAACUAGUUAAAAUCUCUGACACUGGAAAAUAAAAGAGAGAGAGAUAAAUGACAGCUCAGUAGUUUGUCUCUUCCUGAUGGCCCCUAGUGGCACAGCGGUAUGUCUGCGGACCUACAACGCUAGAAACCGGGUUUCGAUACCCGUGGUGGGCAGAGCACACAUAGCCCUUUGUAUAGCUUUGUGCUUAACUACAAAGAAACAAACAAACUCUUCCUGACAGAGCUAGUUUUUGAGAUGCCCUUUAGUUUGUGACUUGAUUGGAACUCUAUCACAAGAUUAAGUGGAAAAUUGUAUGCUUUAUUCAUAUGAUGUUUUUUUUUGAGGGGGGUGAGUAUUAUCUAUCUAAAGAAUUUGUCACCUUAUAUAUAUCCGAAAAUGUUGCAUGUCUGCCUAGACUACCUGACUUCUGUAUAUUAAGAGUACAAAUCCUUUUUCUCAGGAUAUUUAUGGAAAUUUCACUAUAACGUUAUAUAAUAUAGCAGUUUACAUGAGAAUAAUUUUGGUAUAUAUAAACACUUUGUUGUUGCUACAGAAUGCACAAUCUUUUCUUCAGAGCAUCAUGACCUGAAAGUCUAACAGAAACUAAUCUUAAUUAGGGUUGUUUGAAAUGUUUCAUAGGCUUUUUUUCUCCCAAUCGUUAUCUUCACUUGAAGAUGAAAGCAGCAAGUUGCUAGACACAGUUUUCAGUCUUAUAAAUCUCUUGCACUGAUGUCCUUAUUUUAAAAGAGUUUUUCUCAAUAUAUAUUUUUAUAUCAUUGAUUCAUACUGUAAGAGUAUUUUUAAGUUUAAGAACUUGAAUUUCAUGUUUCGAUACAUUUAACUCAAAUUUGUUAACUGUUUUUGCUUCCAUAUACAAGUAAAAUUUAUUCUAUUUGAACUUUUCUCUA